rnacentral:rRNA from 1 species
GACGAACGCUGGCGGCGUGCUUAACACAUGCAAGUCGAACGAAGAGCGAUGGAAGCUUGCUUCUAUCAACCUUAGUGGCGAACGGGUGAGUAACGCGUAAUCAACCUGCCCUUCAGAGGGAGACAACAGUUGGAAACGACUGCUAAUACCGCAUACGAUCUAACCUCGGCAUCGAGGAUGGAUGAAAGGUGGCCUCUAUUUAUAAGCUAUCACUGAAGGAGGGGAUUGCGUCUGAUUAGCUAGUUGGAGGGGUAACGGCCCACCAAGGCGAUGAUCAGUAGCCGGUCUGAGAGGAUGAACGGCCACAUUGGGACUGAGACACGGCCCAGACUCCUACGGGAGGCAGCAGUGGGGAAUCUUCCGCAAUGGACGAAAGUCUGACGGAGCAACGCCGCGUGAGUGAUGACGGCCUUCGGGUUGUAAAGCUCUGUUAAUCGGGACGAAAGGCCUUCUUGCGAAUAGUUAGAAGGAUUGACGGUACCGGAAUAGAAAGCCACGGCUAACUACGUG